rnacentral:rRNA from 1 species
UACGAAGGGACCUAGCGUAGUUCGGAAUUACUGGGCUUAAAGAGCUCGUAGGUGGUUAGAAAAGUUGGUGGUGAAAUCCCAAGGCUUAACCUUGGAACUGCCAUCAAAACUUUUUAACUUGAGUAUGAUAGAGGAAAGUGGAAUUUCUAGUGUAGAGGUGAAAUUCGUAGAUAUUAGAAAGAACACCGAUUGCGAAGGCAGCUUUCUGGAUCAUUACUGACACUGAGGAGCGAAAGCAUGGGUAGCGAAGAGG